GCUAGGUGCACUGACGCAUGCAUGUAGUACCAGCUACUCGGGAGGCUGAGGCUGGAGGAUCACCUGAGUCCAGGAGCUCUGGGUUUUAGGGCCCUAUGCCAAUCAGGUGUCUGCACUAGGUUCAGCAUCAAUAUGGUGACCUCCCGGGAGCGGGGGACCACCAGGUUAUCUAAGGAGGGGUGAACCAGUUCAGGUUGGAAACGAGCAGGUCAAAACUCCCGUGCUGAUCAGUGAUGGGAUCGUGCCUGUGAAUAGCCACUGCAUUCCAGCCUGGGCAACAUAGCGAGACCCUGUCUCUG
ensembl:misc_RNA Metazoa_SRP Metazoan signal recognition particle RNA